UCUUCUUCGGUUCAUCUAUCUCUCUGACAAAGAAAAAUAUCUGCAAAACGUUACAGAAUCAUGCUGAAUCCAAUCGUCGUGUUUAAUGAAAUCAUAAGUGAAUGCAUCCCCUCUUUACUCCAUUUCUUUCGAUCUUCAACUAUAAAAAGAAAUGACAGAGCAAAAGCUGUUGAAAUAUUAGCCAACGAUCUGAAAGUUUUGGCAACGUGUAAAGAACAACUUUACAAAGAAAUGAGAUCAAUCAAUUUCUGACUCGACAAAAAUUUAAGUAAAUUUUGCUUUUGCGUUAAUAUAAUUGAACUUUCUAAAAUGCAAACACUCAAGUAUUAAAGUGUGUGUCUGUGUUUGAUAUAUCCACGGGGAAAAAGGGCAAUAGUCAAAAUAUGGUGAUACAAAAUCAGCCAGGUUUCUCAUGGAUAUCCAAUGAUAAGUAGAGGUGCCUGAAUUUGAAAGAGUUCAAUCGUACGGGUGGAAUCGGACAACCGGGAAUUAUAUUUUUUUGGAAUCAAGGUCAGAUUCCUUGCUUGGUAUGCACCGGGUCAAGAAUCAAUAUGUUUCAGUAGAUCCUGAUUAAUGUACCAGCUCCUGCGAUUGCUUAUGAGAACUCUGUUGGCUGGUAUUUUGCUUAUUGUAGAGAUUUGGGAUGCUCUUUAGCAGUGAGGAGCUUUAUAUUUUUGUUAACGAGUGUUUGGAAUGGUCUCUCAAGUGGCUUCUGGAACUACACAGUAUCAGAGAUUACUAGGAAUUUAGUCAAAGUGUGUUAUUCUCUGAAGAUGCGUCGGUUGAACCGACCUGUAACAACAAUGGAAAAAGAUUAUGGAUUCAACUCUGAUAAAAAAAUCCAAAAAUUUCUAUUUCAGAAAGCAACAACGAUUUUUUGUAAAGGGAAAUAAGUAUAUUUCGUUUUGGUUCGUUCUUAUUA